ACAAGAAGCGUUUGUUUAAUGAAUGACGGACACAUUUAAGAUCUGUUUAGAUGCUGAGGUUAAUCCUGUGAAUUGCUAAUACAGUUCACUAGGUUUGGCACUUAGUGUUGACUUCAGUAUGCUGAGAUGAAAACCAACAUGCCUAGAGCUAAAGCUCUAUAACAUUGAUGAGUUUGAGAGCAUUCGAAAGGACCUGGAGACCCGUAAGAAACAGAAAGAAGAUGUGGAAGUCAUAGGAGGCAGUGAUGGAGAAGGAGCCAUUGGUCUCAGCAGUGAUCUGAAGAGUCUGGAACAAACGAUCAAUGAUUGGAUUGGUUAUCAACCCCAACCCAAGCCCAAUAAUCAUUCAUCUCAAUUUGGAAGUCUUGAAUUUUAAAGGUGGAUUAUCUUGCAUGCCAGAGCUGUGGAAUGGAAUAAAAUGAUGGCAGAAGUACAAACCAGAUUUAGAGAAUUGAGUGCUUGCAGUCAAGCAGAAUGUCAAAGAUAAAUGCUUCUGCAUGAGAUUACUGAUGCUUAACUUGCACUCUAAGCUGGAAUCCAAACUCUGGUUUGUCUCUGGAAAAUUUGAUUCUGUAAAACUGAUCUGAUUUUUUGCUUUUAAAAAUAAAUAUAUUUUUG